GACAGAGGGUGCAAACGUUGUUCGGAAUUACUGGGCGUAAAGCGUGUGUAGGCGGCUAGGUAAGUCGGAUGUGAAAUCCCCGAGCUCAACUUGGGAAUUGCAGUGGAUACUGGCAAGCUGGAGUAUGGUAGAGGAAGGUGGAAUUCCCGGUGUAGCAGUGAAAUGCGUAGAGAUCGGGAGGAACACCAGUGGCGAAGGCGGCCUUCUGGACCAAUACUGACGCUCAUGCACGAAAGCGUGGGGAGCAAACAGG
rnacentral:rRNA from 1 species